rnacentral:rRNA from 1 species
AAUAGAUACCCCGGUAGUCCCACCCCGUAAACGUUGGGACUAGUUGUGGGGUCCGAUUCCACGGAUUCCGUGACGCAGCUAACGCAUUAAAGUUCCCCGCCUGGGGGAGUACGGCCGCAAGGCUAAAACUCAAAGGAAUUGCGGGGACCCGCACAAGCGGCGGAGCAUGUGGAUUAAUUCGAUGCAACGCGAAGAACCUUACCAAGGCUUGACAUAUACGAGAACGCUGCAGAAAUGUAGAACUCUUUGGACACUCGUAAACAGGUGGUGCAUGGUUGUCGUCAGCUCGUGUCGUGAGAUGUUGGGUUAAGUCCCGCAACGAGCGCAACCCUCGUUCUAUGUUGCCAGCACGUAAUGGUGGGAACUCAUGGGUAUACUGGCCGGGGUCAACUCGGAGGGAAGGUGGGGAUGACGUACAAAUCAUCAUGCCCCUUAUUGUCGUUGGGCUUCACCGCAUGCUACAAUGGCCGGUACGAAAGGGCUGACAAUACCGGUAAGGUGGAGCGAAUACCCAAAAAGGCCGGUUCCACGGUUACGGUAUUGUAGGUCGUGCACGUCGACCUC